UGUCAAAAUCGAACGUUUCGAAAAAAGAAAAAAAAAAAAACUCUGGCGCCUAAAGGGUAAAGUCUGUCGCUCCCUGCAUUUGCCACUUGAUCUGUGGUCAAGAGCAUUGUCCCGCCCACUACAUCGACUGAUUUGUUACUCAGCACGAAUCCAGCCAAUCAGGAUCGAAGACUGAAUGCACAGAUUAAAGUUCCUCCUCGAAAGUUUUGGCUUCUCGUCGAAGGACUCGAGGCAGUGGUUGUUGUUCUUACAGUCUAUGGGCAGUAGCAGACUGGGCUUCAGCGAUACGGAGCCAUUUUUUGAAGGUCUCACCACAUGUGUCUCCACCUUUUACAGUCUGAAUCUGCCAUAUCAAGAGGAGGCAGCGUGACCAUUUGAAUUCAACCAGAGGUGUCUUGUGGAUAUCAAUCCUGAGAGGGUGACAAGGGUAAAUGACAAGAACAGAAGAAGUACCCCUACCGAGGUUUCCACCUUGCUCAGAAAACUGAUGGACUAUCGUUAAGCCCUCGUCUGAAAAUGAUGAGUAUUUUACACAUACUUUACAAUGGUUGAAAUGUGUCCAGAUGCUAUUUUUACAUUAUUGUUGUAAGUCAUGGGGGUUGUCCAGUUACCUUGAAAGGACUAAUUGAGACCUCGGUGCAAAAAGCUGGAAUUCCUGGCUUUUCCGGGUGCUUAGAGCAAACCAGCAUGAUUUGGCACCAGAUUCAGCGAGCGAAGCACGAGAGGAGAGACCUGCAUGUCGUAGUCAUGGAUCUGGCUAAUGCUUUUGGGUUAGUACCACAUAGUCUUUUAUGGGAGGCUUUUGAUUACUUCAGAGUCCCAGGUAGCAUUAAAAGCCUAUACUGUAGCUAAGGCGUACUUUAUGGAUAUUCAACUCUGUUUUACCACGGCAGAAUACACCACAACUUGAGAUUGGCAUUAUGGUGGGAUAUACAAUAUCCCCAUGCUUUCACAAUGGCAAUGGACACUUUGGGCACAAAUUUCCCCUACAUGAAUCCUAGUAUACCCUAUCACCUAAGCACAAUCACAAAUAAGUAAAGUGAAUGUUACUUGAUUUCCUCCCUGAUUAUCAUUUACACCCUUGUACUUUACAUUCCUCUAGACAUAAUCUGCCAGGUUAUUCAUUCUCACAUACACACAUGAUACACAAGCCCAAUUCGAUAUUUUUAUUUUCUAUGAUAAUUAUUCUGUAUCUUAUUCAGCCACCUCGAAAUACUACUAGAUAACGUGUCUGCUUUUUACAUACAUACAUGAUACACGAGCCCAAUGCAAUGUUUUUGUUUUUUCCGUGAUAAUUCUUCUGUGCCUUAUUCCCUGACCUUUGAAAUAAAAUUUUCGAAAUACUAUUAUAUAACAUGUCUACAUUUUACUAUACAUAUGUGAUGCAGAAGUCUAAUGCAAUGUUUUUGUUUUUCAUGAGAAUUCUUCUUUACCUUAUUCCCUGAUCCUGAAAUAGGAUUAGAGUCAGUCUACAUAUUCCUAAAUCACUACUUACUAUCUUGCUUCAUGUCCCUUUAUUUUUC